CGCGCUGCUCGUCCGCCCGGAAGCGCGACGCUGGAGCUGCGGGGUUACCAUGGGAACCGAACCGCCGCGCCUCGCCCAGGACAGGUACACUUAGAGGCCUUGGAGGAAAAGAGAUUGCCUUAGGGUUAUUCGGAAACAAUCCUGUUUGAAAAGGUGCAUCACUGAUGAGACAUGUCCAGGUGUAAAGAAAUGCUGCACGCUUGGCUGCAACAAGAGCUGUGUAGUCCCAAUCUCUAAACAGAAGCUGGGGCGGGGCGGUGAUUGUCCAAAAGUUCUGGUGGGCCUGUGCAUUGUUGGCUGUGUGAUGGAUGAGAAUUGUCAAGCUGGAGAAAAAUGUUGCAAGUCAGGCUGUGGCCGCUUCUGUGUCCCACCAGUCCUGCCCCCAAAACUGACCACGAACCCCAACUGGACUGUGAGGUCUGAUUCUGAAUUAGAGAUCCCGGUGCCCUAGCUGUGCUGAUUUGUCUGGAGCUUCUUUGGAAGAGGACACCCACCCUCGUACCUGGUCCCUGGCAAGAGAUGUCCACUUUCACAUAACUGUUUUCUGAGUUGUAGAGGAAAUAUGUUCCCUGAAGGUGUGUGGAGAAGCAUGGACAAGAUGAGGAGCCAUAGAGAAAAGUGACACCAUGCAGGCUUCAUGAUGUUGCAGACAGCAGAUAGAAGAAUCCUGUACUUGGCUGAAAUAUCUGAAGGGUUGGCUCUCCUUCUCAUGUGAGGAGUUGAAUUCAUAUCUCUGAUUUUUAUCUUCCCAGGGCUUAAGCCUGGGCAGGGUUCUGGUGCAUCCAGAAUCAGCCUUGUGAGCAGGACAGUAAGUUCUUGGGUACCCAGCCAUGUAGCUUGAAAGACCAUGCUUUGCCAGAACCCUACUGAUUAACCUCAGCCUUCCCCCCUUCUUUCCUCCACAUCUAGGGAUCAUGACCACUAUUGCUUGGGACAUCAACAUCUCUAUAAUGAACAGUUGUAAAUAAAUUCUUACCAAUGCUUUAAUA
rnacentral:sRNA from 1 species